GACGAACGCUGGCGGCGUGCCUAAUACAUGCAAGUUGAGCGAUGAAGAUUGGUGCUUGCACCAAUUUGAAGAGCAGCGAACGGGUGAGUAACGCGUGGGGAAUCUGCCUUUGAGCGGGGGACAACAUUUGGAAACGAAUGCUAAUACCGCAUAACAACUUUAAACAUAAGUUUUAAGUUUGAAAGAUGCAAUUGCAUCACUCAAAGAUGAUCCCGCGUUGUAUUAGCUAGUUGGUGAGGUAAAGGCUCACCAAGGCGAUGAUACAUAGCCGACCUGAGAGGGUGAUCGGCCACAUUGGGACUGAGACACGGCCCAAACUCCUACGGGAGGCAGCUGUAGGGAAUCUUCGGCAAUGGACGAAAGUCUGACCGAGCAACGCCGCGUGAGUGAAGAAGGUUUUCGGAUCGUAAAACUCUGUUGGUAGAGAAGAACGUUGGUGAGAGUGGAAAGCUCAUCAAGUGACGGUAACUACCCAGAAAGGGACGGCUAACUACGUG
rnacentral:rRNA from 1 species